GAUGAAGAACGUAGCGAAAUGCGAUACUUGGCGUGAAUUGCAGAAUCCCGUGAACCAUCGAGUCUUUGAACGCAAGUUGCGCCCGAAGCCAUUAGGCCGAGGGCACGCCUGCCUGGGCGUCACACGUCGUUGCCCCCCCAUCUACUCCUUCGGGAUUGCGGGGGGCGGAUGAUGGCCUCCCGUGCGCCUCGCCGCGCGGUUGGCAUAAAUGCCAAGUCCUCGGCGACGCACGCCACGACAAUCGGUGGUUGCGAAACCUCGGUUGCCCGUCGUGUGCGGUCGUCGCGCAUCGAGGGCUCGAAAAAAUUGCCGGGUUCCGGCUCGGCUUUCAACGCGACCCCAGGUCAGGCGGGGUUACCCGCUGAAUUUAAGCAUAUCAAUAAGCGGAGGA
rnacentral:misc_RNA from 1 species